GGGUUGUGAGGUUAAGCGACUAAGCGUACACGGUGGAUGCCCUGGCAGUCAGAGGCGAUGAAGGGCGUGCUAAUCUGCGAUAAGCGCCGGUAAGGUGAUAUGAACCGUUAUAACCGGCGAUACCCGAAUGGGGAAACCCAGUGUGAUUCGUCACACUAUCAUUAACUGAAUCCAUAGGUUAAUGAGGCGAACCGGGGGAACUGAAACAUCUAAGUACCCCGAGGAAAAGAAAUCAACCGAGAUUCCCCCAGUAGCGGCGAGCGAACGGGGAGGAGCCCAGAGCCUGAAUCAGCAUGUGUGUUAGUGGAAGCGUCUGGAAAGGCGCGCGAUACAGGGUGACAGCCCCGUACACAAAAGCGCAUGUGCUGUGAGCUCGAUGAGUAGGGCGGGACACGUGGUAUCCUGUCUGAAUAUGGGGGGACCAUCCUCCAAGGCUAAAUACUCCUGACUGACCGAUAGUGAACCAGUACCGUGAGGGAAAGGCGAAAAGAACCCCGGCGAGGGGAGUGAAAAAGAACCUGAAACCGUGUACGUACAAGCAGUGGGAGCACAGGUUUACCUGUGUGACUGCGUACCUUUUGUAUAAUGGGUCAGCGACUUAUAUUCUGUAGCAAGGUUAACCGUAUAGGGGAGCCG
rnacentral:rRNA from 8 species